GCUGGUGUAGGCGAUGACCGCAUUUUCCCCCGGCAGAGCGGCAGGGUUGACUUGCCACCGUUCCAGCCAGAUGGCGUCUGAUGCAGCAGC